AGAAUAGAUCCAUAACCAAACAAGUAAGCAUCACGGAUCAUAAGUGUUAGCACCAGGAGAUCAAUUUUGACACCACACUACACACUACACACUACACUACCAUUCUCACAAAUCACAUGAAAUUAAUUAAUCAGUUUACUAACCCCACUUGUGAAUCUUAAAAUAAUCAUUUUUAGCUUUGGCAAAUCCCAAUUAACCACAACCAGAACCAAAUAAGGCAAUGACAGUGUGAGACACAGUGAUAUGAACUCCGACUCUAAGCUUAGCAGAGAAGAACAAAAGAAAAAAAGCAAAUCCAAAAUGGGUUUCACAUUCAGCACCAUGACUCUAAACCUUCUCCUCCUAAUAGCAAUGGUAGCCACCAACAUUCUCUCACUCUACCACCUCUCCACAACACUUCAAUCCCCUAAAUCCCCAAAUCCACACACACUAAUCCCCGACCAACUCCUCCGUCAACUUCACACCAUACGCGCCACCAUUAACCACCUCACGCGCCUCCAACCCUCAGACACAAAAUCAUCAAUCCCUUCAGAUCUAUUACUAUACUCACACCUCUCUCCAAUUGCUUCUUCAUGCCAUCACCACCCUGAUCUUCUCCACAAGUACAUGACUUACACACCUUUCUCUCUUUGUCCUUCCGAUUCCGACCUCGCCGAAUCCCUAAUUCUUCGCGGUUGUCACCCUCUCCCUCGCCGACGAUGCUUCUCCAAAACCCCCAAAAAACUAUCAAUUUCGCUUCCUCAAAACCCUUUCCCUAAUUCUCUCCCUGAUUCCUCCGUAAUUUGGGAUCGUUACUCAUGUAAAUCAUUCGAUUGUCUCAACCGUCAAAACCCUAAUCUCGGUUUCGAACCUUCACGUGAAGCUUCCAAGUUUAACACCUACAGUUCCGAAUUAGAUCUUCCAGUUCAACAGCUUCUCCAGAUCGCGAAAACCGCGAAAUCGGUUCUUCGACUCGGUCUCGACGUCGGCGGUGGAACUGGCUCAUUCGCCGCCGCGAUGAAGCUUCGUAAUGUUACGGUAGUUACAACUACCAUGAAUGUUGCUGCGCCUUAUAGUGAGACUGUUGCGUUGAGGGGGCUUGUACCGCUUCACGUGCCGUUGCAGCAACGGUUGCCGAUUUUCGACGGUGUUGUGGAUAUUGUUCGGUGUGGGCGUGCGGUGAACCGGUGGAUUCCGGUGACGAUGAUGGAAUUUUUGUUGUUUGAUGUUGAUAGGGUUUUGAGAGGUGGAGGGUUUUUGUGGUUGGAUCAUUUUUUUAGUAAGGGUGUAGAUCUUGAGAAAGUGUAUGCGCCUUUGAUUGGGAAAUUGGGUUACAAGAAGGUGAAGUGGGCAACGGGGAAUAAGACUGAUGCUGGUGGUGUUAAGAAUGGGGAACUUUACUUGACUGCAUUGCUCCAAAAGCCUCUCUCAAGAUGAGGUUGUCACUCAAAAGUGACAGAUUGGUUGAAUUCAAGUUUUGUACAUUAAACAAUGUUGAACCUAAUCCUGGUUGGUGGAAGACCCAAAUGUUGUGUUUAAUCAGUGAUUUCACAGUAAGCAUGGAAUAUUACUUGGGGCUCUUGAGGCCACUUCCUUCCUUCAUUCAGCCCAUACCACAUAAUGCAUCCUACAAAAACUGUUUGAGUUGAUAUAUGUGCUGUAAGGAAGAUAAGCAUGCUGGUUUAUCCUGAUUUCCUUGCUCUGGAAUUUUUAUGGGGCGCUUAAUGAAGCAGUGUUCAUGGCCAAUGUGAUCCAUCAUCCCAAUGUUGUAGAAAAAGAAUCAUUAACGCAUGGGAACAAAGCUAGAAGGAAGUCAAGCACAGGUCUAUGUAUAUCCUGUGGACUUGGGGGAACUUGUGGAGGAAAAUAGUGUUUAUGAUCGUUUUUGCUUCUUCUUUGAUUCAAUUGUUCUAUUCCAAUUAUUUGUUUGGAAAUAAAUUCAAGGAAUGUUGUUGCCUGAUUCGUGUUCCCUCAUCACCUAGUUUUCAUUAUUCUAUUUGUUAACCAUGUUGUUAAUGCAAAAUAUCAAUAGGUUUUACUAAUGGCUAAUAUCUGCCAGGGAAUCUA